rnacentral:rRNA from 1 species
GAUGAACGCUGGCGGCGUGCCUAACACAUGCAAGUCGAGCGAUUCUCUUCGGAGAAGAGCGGCGGACGGGUGAGUAACGCGUGGGUAACCUGCCCUGUACACACGGAUAACAUACCGAAAGGUAUGCUAAUACGAGAUAAUAUACUUUUAUCGCAUGGUAGAAGUAUCAAAGUUUUUGCGGUACAGGAUGGACCCGCGUCUGAUUAGCUAGUUGGUAAGGUAACGGCUUACCAAGGCGACGAUCAGUAGCCGACCUGAGAGGGUGAUCGGCCACAUUGGAACUGAGACACGGUCCAAACUCCUAAGGGAGGCAGCAGUGGGGAAUAUUGCACAAUGGGCGAAAGCCUGAUGCAGCAACGACGCGUGAGCGAUGAAGGCCUUCGGGUCGUAAAGCUCUGUCCUCAAGGAAGAUAAUGACGGUACUUGAGGAGGAAGCCCCGGCUAACUACGUGCCAGCCGCCGCGGUAA